rnacentral:ncRNA from 1 species
GUGGUACCGGUUCCCGUCCUUCGGGGCGACCCGGCGACC